UGGGGGAUAUUGCACAAUGGGGGAAACCCUGAUGCAGCGACGCCGCGUGUGGGAAGACGGUCCUCUGGAUUGUAAACCACUGUCCCCAGGGACGAAGAUGACGGUACCUGGGGAGGAAGCUCCGGCUAACUACGUGCC
rnacentral:rRNA from 1 species